CGAACCGGGAGCGCUGCCCGGUGGGAACCGGGGCUCCGCGAGCCACGCCGCGCACCGCCCGCACCGGAAGCGGGGCGCUGGGGCGCCUGAGGCUGGGACCACCCGAAGCUGGGGACCACCCAGCCCUGAAGGCGCCGUCGGAAGAGGUUGUGAGUGUGAGGUCCUGCGAAGGGCAGCACAGUUCCCGACACUCUUCCAGUGCAACCAAAAAGCAGAUGCAAGGCCCAGUGAGAAAGUGUGAAUAAGGUAGAAGACCAGACUGGUCCAGUGGCUUCUAUUUCUUCAAAGAAGAAUGAAGCACAAAGAGAAUCAGAAAGACGGGAAUCAAGGACCAGAAGUCUGAAAACAGAAGAGGCUAGAGACAGUUAUGAACAAUGAGAAGGCUGUGGUACAAAGGAAACCAGAGAGAUUUUGGCGACUGUGAGUACUAAUUUGUUGGCAAUGCACUGAUAGGGCAUUAGUUUUUGGAACUGUACAUUAUGUACCUUAGAUUUGGGCACGUACCUGUCAGUAUGUGAUAGGAAUGGACCAUUACAUCAGUAAUGCUGUGUUGGGAGUGCAAGUGCCAACCCCUUCUCUGCUGUGAGAUGCAGCCCUCCCAAUCUAGUCUACAGAGGUUCUGCACCUCUUUAUUCUACUUAGUUCCUGUGAUGAAACAGUCAUUCCAGAGGAGACAGGAUUAUGAUGGCAAUGGAAACUUCAUUUCAGCCCUGGACUGAACAAAUGGAUAUGUGACAGAGAUGAGCUCAGCUCUUAGGACCCUGGUAUCUUCUGUCUCCCAUGGAAGAUGCCUGUUCUAAGCAAGAAAAGUCUCCAUUAUUAAUGCACAUGUCUCCAGAAUAACAGAACAAAAAUGCUCUGUUAAAUUGCAGUCAAAAUGACUGUGAAUUCAAAAUUUAAAACUGCUAAAAAUAACUGUCAUGCUUUAAAUGGUAUCAGUAUAUUAGAAAUGUCUGUUUUGCUGAUUUUUAUGAAUGUAUAAAGUUUUUAAUGAAAAAAAUCAACUGUAGAAAUUGCUAGAGUUAAUUAGCUGUUAAUUAAUUAACAUUUCAUUAAUCUGGAUUUUGCUUGUGAUUUUUGCUUGUUUGUUUGUUUGUUUGUUGCACAUACAUAAUGGUGUUGCUAGGUAUAUGAAGACUAAACAAUUAGCCCCUAAUGUUAUGAAGCUCACAGAGACAAAAUUUUUAUGUCUGUCUAGUUGAAGUAUUAUUUAUUUUAUCUAUGACCAGAUUCUACAGAUUUAGCAAAUGAACUAUCUUUUCUUAUAUUUUAACUUUAUUGCCCUUUAGAAACAAUUUAGGUUAGGGGAGAUUAGGUGUAAUUUUGAUCUUGGGCAGUAGAGGGCAGCAAAGCAUCAGGACUGCUUAAGAAUGCCUUUGUAGACCACCAUGCAGACAUUUUUCUGUACAUAGAAUUUCAAUGACUUUUCCCUUGGAAUCAAUGGCAUAUCUUAGCUAUAAAUAUAGGAAAUAUGUAAAUCUAUUCUUAUUAAAAUUCAUUCAUGAUUUGCCAAAAUACAUUUUAAAAUAAA